UUAGUGGCGAACGGGUGAGUAACACGUGAGCAACGUGCCCAAGACUCUGGAAUAACUUCGGGAAACCGGAGCUAAUACUGGAUACGAGACGUAAAGGCAUCUUUAGCGUCUGGAAAGAAUUUCGGUCUUGGAUCGGCUCACGGCCUAUCAGCCUGUUGGUGAGGUAAUGGCUCACCAAGGCGACGACGGGUAGCCGGCCUGAGAGGGUGACCGGCCACACUGGGACUGAGACACGGCCCAG
rnacentral:rRNA from 1 species